UACGUAGGGGGCAAGCGUUGUCCGGAUUUAUUGGGCGUAAAGAGCUCGUAGGCGGCUUGGCAAGUCGGGUGUGAAAACUCCAGGCUCAACCUGGAGAUGCCACUCGAGACUGCUAUGGCUAGAGUCCGGUAGGGGGGGGUGGAAUUCCACGUGUAGCAGUGAAAUGCGUAGAGAUGUGGAGGAAUACCGAUGGCGAAGGCAGCCCCCUGGGAUAACACUGACGCUCAUGCACGAAAGCGUGGGGAGCAAACAGG
rnacentral:rRNA from 1 species